rnacentral:rRNA from 1 species
AACGCGAAGAACCUUACCUGGGUUUGGCAUGCCCUGAAUGCAGUAGAGAUAUUGCAGGCCCGAAAGGGACAGGAGCACAGGUGCUGCAUGGCUGUCGUCAGCUCGUGUCGUGAGAUGUUGGGUUAAGUCCCGCAACGAGCGCAACCCUUGUCCUUAGUUGCCAGCAUUAAGUUGGGCACUCUAAGGAGACUGCCAACGUUAAGUUGGAGGAAGGUGGGGAUGACGUCAAGUCCUCAUGGCCUUUAUAUCCAGGGCAACACACGUUCUACAAUGGUCGGUACAAAGCGACGCGAAAUCGUGAGAUGGAGCAAACCGCAAAAAACCGAUCUAAGUUCGGAUUGGAGUCUGCAACUCGACUCCAUGAAGUUGGAAUCGCUAGUAAUCGCGGAUCAGAAUGCCGCGGUGAAUACGUUCCCGGGCCUUGUA